rnacentral:lncRNA from 1 species
AAAGUCACAACCAGUGGGACUCUUGACCCCGGUACCCAUAAUGUGUGGAACUCGCGAUUAGAGAAUCCUGAUUCUUGAUCAUUGAGUCCCAAACAUGUAGGAUUUUACAUCAGCCAUUAGAUCAGAUAGGAACCUCUAAUGUGUGUGACCCCGCAGGUUCGAACCUAAGUCGGUAGCACAGGAACCAAUUUCUGUACUAAUCGAAGUGACCAUCUAGCAAUGGUACCCGACAUCCGGAU